AACGAACGCUGGCGGCAGGCUUAACACAUGCAAGUCGAACGCACCGCAAGGUGAGUGGCAGACGGGUGAGUAACACGUGGGGAUCUGCCCAAUGGUACGGAAUAGCUCCGGGAAACUGGAAUUAAUACCGUAUGAGCCCGCAAGGGGAAGGAUUUAUCGCCAUUGGAUGAACCCGCGUCGGAUUAGCUAGUCGGGGUGGGAAAGGCGCACCAAGGCGACGAUCGGGAGCUGGUCUGAGAGGAAGAGCAGCCACACUGGGACGGAGACACGGCCCAGACUCCUACGGGAGGCAGCAGUGGGGAAUAUUGGACAAUGGGCGCAAGCCUGAUCCAGCCAGGCCGCGUGAGUGAUGAAGGCCUUAGGGUUGUAAAGCUCUUUCGCCGACGAAGAUAAUGACGGUAGUCCGAGAAGAAGCCCCGGCUAACUUCGUGCCAGCCGCCGCCGUAAGAC
rnacentral:rRNA from 1 species